CAUACGAGCCACAGAAAACUCACCGGUACUCACAAAGAGGGAGAGCAAAAUGUUAUUACGUGGCAGAUAUAUAUUUGCAAGACCAUUUUCAAUAAGGACACUUAAGAGAAACUACAUCUUGUGAGAUGAGGUCGGCCGACACCGGAAGCUAUCCCGGCGGUGAAAUAGUUUGCCCGCCACUUUCACACGAAUCAGCCGACUACGACUGGUUUUUACGGCGUCAGAUGGGUGCUACAAAUUUCACCCAUUAAGACACUGAUGGCAGGAGCUGCCAUGAAAGGCCCUAAACACGACCCAUCAGGACCAAGGAUGAAGUGUCUUACUCAAGGACACCACCGACGUGAAUGGGGGAAGCUGGGGAUCGAACCAGGAACCCUUAAGUUGCUGGCACGGCCGCUAUACCACGUGAGCCACAACGUCCCAAGUAGGUUUUUAAAAACAGCAGAAUGCUUCUGUCAUAUAGAGCAGUGGUUCUCAACCCUUCUUCAGUGAUGUUCCCCCUGUGAAGAUGUUUUUAAUUCAAGUACCUCCUAAUCAGAGCAAAGCAUUUUUGGUUGAAAAAAAGAGAUAAAGAAGUAAAAUACA